UACGAAGGGGGCGAGCGUUGUUCGGAUUUACUGGGCGUAAAGGGCGCGUAGGCGGCGGGUCAAGUCGAGUGUGAAAGCCCCGGGCUCAACCUGGGAAUUGCGCUCGAGACUGGUCUGCUUGAGUUCGGGAGAGGAGAGUGGAAUUCCCAGUGUAGAGGUGAAAUUCGUAGAUAUUGGGAAGAACACCGGUGGCGAAGGCGGCGACCUGGUCCGAUACUGACGCUGAGGCGCGAAAGCGUGGGGAGCAAACAGG
rnacentral:rRNA from 1 species